rnacentral:tRNA from 1 species
CCUAGCUCAGUUGGUAGAGCGGCUGAUUCGUAAUCAGCAGGUCGCCGGUUCAAGCCCGGCGG